rnacentral:rRNA from 1 species
GACGAACGCUGGCGGCGCGCUUAACACAUGCAAGUCGAACGGAAAGGCCUGCUUUCCCUUGUGGAUUGCGGGUACUCGGGUGGGUAACGGGUGAGUAACACGUGAGUGAUCUGCCCCCAACUUGGGUAUAAGCCUGGGAAACUGGGUCUAAUUCCCGAUAGGACUGCAGGGUGGUGCCUGUGGUGGAAAACGAUUUUCUCGUGGUUGGGGCUGAGCUCGCGGCCUAUCAGCUUGUUGGUGGGGUAAUGGCCUACCAAGGCGGCGACGGGUAGCCGGCCUGAGAGGGUGGACGGGCACAGUGAGACUGAGAUACGGCCCAGACGCCUACGGGAGGCAGCAGUGGGGAAUAUUGCACAAUGGGCGGAAGCCUGAUGCAGCGACGCCGCGUGGGGGAUGACGGCCUUCGGGUUGUAAACUCCUUUCGACCGCGAGGAAGCCACCUGGUUGGAAGGGUGGUGACGGUAGUGGUAGAAGAAGCACCGGCUAACUACGUG